rnacentral:rRNA from 1 species
GACGAACGCUGGCGGCGUGCUUAACACAUGCAAGUCGAACGGUGAAGCGCCUUCCUUUUUGGUGGGUGUGGAUGAGUGGCGAACGGGUGAGUAACACGUGAGUAACCUGCUCCCUCCUUCUGGAUAACCGCAUGAAAGUGUGGCUAAUACGGGAUAUUUUGGGUCUGUCGCAUGAUGGGUCUGGGACAGAUAUUGUUUCGGUGGGGGAUGGGCUCGCGGCCUAUCAGCUUGUUGGUGUGGUGAUGGCCUACCAAGGCGGUGAGGGGUAGCCGGCCUGGGAGGGUGGACGGUCACACGAGGACUGAGCCACGGCCCCGACUCCUACGGGAGGCAGCAGGGAGGAAUAUUGAACGAUGGGCGCAAGGCUGGUGCAGCGACGCCGCGUGAGGGAUGGAGGCCUUCGGGUUGUGAACCUCUUUCGCCAGUGAAGCAGGCCUGCCUCGUUUGUGGGUGGGUUGACGGUAGCUGGAUAAGAAGCGCCGGCUAACUACGUG